ACAUUGUCCUGAAUGGAGUAUGGAACAGAAAUAACACCUGGGAAAAUAACAAAGGCCCUUAUGACUUUGGAAUCGAUGGGUACUAUUUGCAAUGGAUGAUGAAGCCCCAAUGCCAAAGGACCUUAACAGCAAAGGUUGGCCAUUACUUUAUAUGUGGUCGCCAAGCAUACAAAACACUGCCCAAGGGCUGGAGUGGAACCUGCUACGUUGGAGCAGCCUUCCCAGCCAUUCGAAUCACUAACCAUCUCCCUGGGAGUAGAAUCCGAAAUUACCGAGAGAUAACAGAAACACAGCGGUUUUGGGGGAAUUGCGUUCCCAGGAUUGGGUGUGGCCUAUGCAGUAAGAGAAAUUCGGAGGCUGGAAGUAGCUUUCGAGAAAGUAGCUAAUGCCACAACCAAAGCUCUCCGUGCCAUUAAUAUGGAACUAGGAGAAGUGAGACAAAUGGUUCUCCAGAACCGGAUGGCCCUAGACUAUGUCCUAGCUAGUAAGGGCGGGGUUUGUGCCUUAGUAGGAAAGGAAUGCUGUGUGUAUAUCACCGACACCAGCAAAGAAGUGGAAGAAGAUGCCUCAGAGAUUGAAAAAACUGUGGAACGCUUAAGGCAGGGGGAAGACUGGACCCUCUGGGAUUGGCUAGGAGGCUGGUUUGGAUAUGUAGGAACUUGGAUUUUGCAAGGUGUAGUUUUAGUAUUGGCUAUAUUCUUUUGUGCUUAUUUUUGUUUCUUGCUAAUCAAAUGCUGUAUUUCUUGUAUUCUAGAAAACAAGGGACAGACCCUUACUAAAGGGAAUGUGGAAGUAAUGAUGUUAAAAUAUGAUGAGCA